AAGGAAUAUUGCUCAAUGGGAGAAAUCCUGAAGCAGCAACGCCGCGUGGAGGAUGAAGGGUCUAUGACUUGUAAACUCCUGUAAAGAAGGAAAAAAUUCCCAUUAGAUGGGAGAUGAUGGUACUUCUGGAGUAAGCCCCGGCUAACUACGUGCCAGCAGCCGCGGUAAUACGUAGGGGGCAAGCGUUGUCCGGAUUUACUGGGUGUAAAGGGUGCUCAGGCGGAUUUGUAAGUCAGAGGUGAAAUCUUACAGCUUAACUGUGAAACUGCCUUUGAUACUGCAAGCCUAGAGUAUGGAAGAGAGUGAUGGAAUAUCUGGUGUAGCAGUGAAAUGCGUAGAUAUCAGAUAGAACACCAAUGGCGAAGGCAGUCACUUGGUCCAUUACUGACGCUAAAGCACGAAAGCGUGGGUAGCAAACA
rnacentral:rRNA from 1 species